rnacentral:rRNA from 1 species
UACUGACACUGAGGAACGAAAGCAUGGGUAGCGAAGAGGAUUAGAUACCCUCGUAGUCCAUGCCGUAAACGAUGUGUGUUAGACGUUGGAAAUUUUUUUUCAGUGUCGCAGCGAAAGCGAUAAACACACCGCCUGGGGAGUACGACCGCAAGGUUAAAACUCAAAUGAAUUGACGGGGACCCGCACAAGUAGUGGAGCAUGUGGUUUAAUUCGAAGAUACGCGCAGAACCUUACCAACACUUGACAUGUUCGUCGCGACUUUAAGAGAUUAAAGUUUUCGGUUCGGCCGGACGAAACACAGGUGCUGCAUGGCUGUCGUCAGCUCGUGUCGUGAGAUGUUGGGUUAAGUCCCGCAACGAGCGCAACCCCCACUUUUAGUUGCCAUCAUUAAGUUGGGCACUCUGAAAGAACUGCCAGUGAUAAGCUGGAGGAAGGUGGGGAUGACGUCAAGUCCUCAUGGCCCUUACGUGUUGGGCUACACACGUGCUACAAUGGUAUUUACAAAAGGAAGCAAGACGGCGACGUUUAGCAAAUCCUUAAAAAAUACCUCAGUUCGGAUUGCACUCUGCAACUCGAGUGCAUGAAGCUGGAAUUACUAGUAAUCGUGGAUCAGCGUGCCACGGUGAAUGCGUUCCCGGGUCUUGUACACACCGCCCGUCACACCAUGGGAGUUGGUUCUACCUUAAGGCAAGGCUUAAAACCCUUGACCACGGUAUAGUCAGCGAGUGGGGUGAAGUCGUAACAAGGUAACCGUA